rnacentral:rRNA from 1 species
GAUCAUGGCUCAGAAUCAACGCUGGCGGCGCGCUUAACACAUACAAGUCGAACGAGAAAGGGAGCAAUCCUGAGUAAAGUGGCGCACGGGUGAGUAACACGUGGGUAAUCUACCCUCUGGUGGGGAAUAACUCUGGGAAACCGGAGCUAAUACCGCAUAAGACCGGAAGGUGAAAGGCGCAAGUCGCCGGAGGAGGAGCCCGCGGCCGAUUAGCUGGAUGGUAGGGUAAUGGCCUACCAUGGCUGAGAUCGGUAGCCGGCCCUGAGAGGGCACACGGCCACACUGGCACUGAAACACGGGCCAGACUCCUACGGGAGGCAGCAGUGGGGAAUCUUGCACAAUGGGGGAAACCCUGAUGCAGCGACGCCGCGUGAGCGAUGAAGCCCUUCGGGGUGUAAAGCUCUUUCGGCAGGGACGAUAAUGACGGUACCUGCAGAAGAAGCUGCGGCUAACUACGUG